AUUGAACGCUGGCGGCAGGCCUAACACAUGCAAGUCGAGCGAGCGGCGGACGGGUGAGUAAUGUAUGGGGAUCUGCCUGAUGGAGGGGGAUAACUACUGGAAACGGUAGCUAAUACCGCAUACCAUCAGAUGAACCCAUAUGGGAUUAGCUGGUAGGUAAGGUAACGGAUUACCUAGGCGACGAUCCCUAGCAGGGCUGAGAGGAUGAUCAGCCACACUGGGACUGAGACACGGACAAGACGCCUACGGGAGGCAGCAGGGGGGAAUAUUGCACAAUGGGCGCAAGCCUGAUGCAGCCAUGCCGCGUGUAUGAAGAAGGCCUUCGGGUUGUAAAGUACUUUCAGUCGGGAGGCGUUACCGACAGAGGAAGCACCGGCUAACUCCGUGCCAGCAGCCGCGGUAAUAC
rnacentral:rRNA from 1 species